GGUUCUCGUGGUUAAUUGGUAGUAAUGAUGGUUUUCCCAUAGGGAACUUUUCCUGAAUUCUGACAUACCAGUUGUCUUUCUAAGUAAAGCAAACAAAUACCUAAUUUUCUAGUCUUAGAUUUUCCAUACCGUAUGCUUUCUGUGGGUUGCAUUACAAUAUCUCAGUUCUCAUUUAUUGCAAGCCUUUCCUUAUAGAGUGUAGUUUUUAUUUUUGGUUAUUCCAUAAUAUCAAGUUUUACUAGUUUUACAUUGCAAUUCUUGACAAAAUAAUAAUUUAAGCUGUUUAUCAGAG
rnacentral:misc_RNA from 1 species